UACGAACUGUGCGAACGUUAUUCGGAAUCACUGGGCUUAAAGGGUGCGUAGGCGGCUGCCUAAGUCAGGUGUGAAAUCUCUCGGCUCAACCGGGAAACUGCGCUUGAUACUGGGCGGCUUGAGUGAGGUAGGGGUGUGUGGAACUUCCGGUGGAGCGGUGAAAUGUGUAGAUAUCGGAAGGAACGCCAGCAGCGAAAGCGGCACACUGGGCCUUUUCUGACGCUGAGGCACGAAAGCCAGGGGAGCGAACGGG
rnacentral:rRNA from 1 species